CCUACGGGAGGCAGCAGUGAGGAAUAUUGGUCAAUGGACGAGAGUCUGAACCAGCCAAGUAGCGUGCAGGAUGACUGCCCUAUGGGUUGUAAACUUCUUUUAUAUGGGAAUAAAACGUUCCACGUGUGGGAUUUUGUAUGUACCAUAUGAAUAAGGAUCGGCUAACUCCGUGCCAGCAGCCGCGGUAAUACGGAGGAUCCGAGCGUUAUCCGGAUUUAUUGGGUUUAAAGGGAGCGUAGGUGGAUUGUUAAGUCAGUUGUGAAAGUUUGCGGCUCAACCGUAAAAUUGCAGUUGAAACUGGCAGUCUUGAGUACAGUAGAGGUGGGCGGAAGUCGUGGUGUAGCGGUGAAAUGCUUAGAGAUCACGAAGAACUCCGAUUGCGAAGGCAGUUCACUGGACUGCAACUGACACUGAGGCUCGAAAGUGUGGGUAUCAAACAGGAUUAGAUACCCCAGUAGUC
rnacentral:rRNA from 1 species